rnacentral:rRNA from 1 species
UUAAAAUCUUAGUGGCGGACGGGUGAGUAACGCGUGGGUAACCUGCCUUACACUGGGGGAGUAACACUUAGAAAUAGGUGCUAAUACCGCAUAAGCGCACGAAGCCGCAUGGAUUUGUGUGAAAAACUCCGGUGGUGUAAGAUGGACCCGCGUCUGAUUAGCUUGUUGGCGGGGUAACGGCCCACCAAGGCGACGAUCAGUAGCCGGCCUGAGAGGGUGGACGGCCACAUUGGGACUGAGACACGGCCCAAACUCCUACGGAAGGCAGCAG